rnacentral:rRNA from 1 species
CGUGAGGGAAAGGUGAAAAGAACCCCUAUUAGGGGAGUGAAAUAGAACCUGAAACCGGAUGCCUACAAUCAGUCGGAGCUCUAUAUGAGUGACGACGUACCUUUUGUAUAAUGGGUCAGUGACUUUAUCUGUGCAGCAAGCUUAAGCCGAAAAGGUGUAGGCGUAGCGAAAGCGAGUCUGAAUAGGGCGAUGAGUUGUACGGAUAAGAACCCGAAACCUAGUGAUCUAGUUAUGAGCAGGUUGAAGGUAAGGUAACACUUACUGGAGGACCGAACCGGUGCCUGUUGAAAAAGGCUCGGAUGACUUGUGAUUAGGGGUGAAAGGCCAAUCAAACUGGGAGAUAGCUGGUUUUCCGCGAAAACUAUUUAGGUAGUGCGUUGAAUAAUAAGAUCUUGAGGGGUAGAGCACUAAAUAGGCUAGGGGGAAGAAAUUCUUACUAAACCUAAUAAAACUCCGAAUACUCAAGAUUGUUUCUCAAUAGACAGACGGUGGGAGCUAACUUCCAUCGUCGAGAGGGAAAAAACCCAGACCACCAUCUAAGGUCCCAAAAUCGUAGUUAAGUGUGAAAGGAUGUGAAGACUCCAAAACAGCCGGGAGGUUGGCUUAGAAGCAGCCAUCCUUUAAAGAAAGCGUAACAGCUCACCGGUCUAAUUAAGAGACUUUGCGCCGAAGAUGUAACGGGGCUCAAACUACGUACCGAAGUUGUGGAUUUAAAGUGUCUACGGACAUUUUAUCUGGUAGCGGAACGUUCUGUAAGUCUGCGAAGGGAUACCCGCGAGGGGUCCUGGAGAUAUCAGAAGUGCGAAUGCUGACAUAAGUAGCGACAAACAGAGUGAAAGACUCUGUCGCCGAAAAUACAAGGGUUCCUGCGUAAAGUUAAUCUUCGCAGGGUUAGUCGGCCCCUAAGGCGAGGGCGAAAGCCGUAGUCGAUGGGAACAAGGUAAAUAUUCCUUGACCUGAUGGUAGUGACGGAUCUCGUAUAUUGUAAGUUCUUAUUGGAUUGAACUUGCCUUGAAGAGGUCCCAGGAAAUAACUCCAUCAUUAAGACCGUACCCUAAACGGACACACGUGUAUUGGUAGAGAAUACCUAGGCGCUUGAGAGAAUGAUGUUGAAGGAACUCGGCAACUUGCCUCUGUAACUUCGGGAUAAAGAGGGCCUUAUUUUGCGCAAGCAGAGUAAGGUGGCACAAGCCAGGGAGUAGCGACUGUUUAACAAAAACACAGGACUCUGCUAACACGUAAGUGGAUGUAUAGGGUCUGACGCCUGCCCGGUGCCGGAAGGUUAAAGCAAGAUGUGCAAGCAUCGAACUGAAGCCCCGGUGAACGGCGGCCGUAACUAUAACGGUCCUAAGGUAGCGAAAUUCCUUGUCGGGUAAGUUCCGACCUGCAUGAAUGGCGUAACGACUGCUCCGGUGUCUCCAACAUCAACUCAGCGAAAUUGAAUUCUCCGUGAAGAUGCGGAGUUCCCGUGGUUAGACGGAAAGACCCCGUGCACCUUUACUACAACUUUACAUUGGUAUUAGAAAUGACAUGUGUAGCAUAGGAGGGAGACUUUGAAGUGGUGGCGCUAGCUAUCAUGGAGUCGUCAGUGAAAUACCUCUCUUGUUAUUUUUGAUAUCUAACUCCAUGCCGUCAUCCGGCUGGAAGACACUGUAUGGUGGGUAGUUUGACUGGGGCGGUCGCCUCCUAAAGAGUAACGGAGGCGUGCGAAGGUAGGCUCAGAUCGGUCAGAAAUCGAUCGUUGAGUGCAAUGGCAUAAGCCUGCCUGACUGCAAGACUGACAAGUCAAGCAGAGUCGAAAGACGGUCAUAGUGAUCCGGUGGUUCUGAGUGGAAGGGCCAUCGCUCAACGGAUAAAAGGUACGCCGGGGAUAACAGGCUGAUA